rnacentral:rRNA from 1 species
GAUGAACGCUGGCGGCGUGCCUAAUACAUGCAAGUCGAGCGAACAGACGAGGAGCGUGCUCCUCUGACGUUAGCGGCGGACGGGUGAGUAACACGUGGAUAACCUACCUAUAAGACUGGGAUAACAUCGGGAAACCGGAGCUAAUACCGGAUAAUAUAUUGAACCGCAUGGUUCAAUAGUGAAAGACGGUUUUGCUGUCACUUAUAGAUGGAUCCGCGCCGCAUUAGCUAGUUGGUAAGGUAACGGCUUACCAAGGCAACGAUGCGUAGCCGACCUGAGAGGGUGAUCGGCCACACUGGAACUGAGACACGGUCCAGACUCCUACGGGAGGCAGCAGUAGGGAAUAUUCCGCAAUGGGCGAAAGCCUGACGGAGCAACGCCGCGUGAGUGAUGAAGGUCUUCGGAUCGUAAAACUCUGUUAUUAGGGAAGAACAAAUGUGUAAGUAACUAUGCACGUCUUGACGGUACCUAAUCAGAAAGCCCCGGCUAACUACGUG